UACGUAGGGGGCUAGCGUUGUCCGGAUUUAUUGGGCGUAAAGAGCGUGUAGGCGGCCAGGUAGGUCUGCUGUGAAAACUCGAGGCUCAACCUCGAGACGUCGGCGGAAACCAUCUGGCUAGAGUCCGGAAGAGGAGAGUGGAAUUCCUGGUGUAGCGGUGAAAUGCGCAGAUAUCAGGAAGAACACCCGUGGCGAAGGCGGCUCUCUGGGACGGUACUGACGCUGAGACGCGAAAGCGUGGGGAGCGCACAGG
rnacentral:rRNA from 1 species